rnacentral:RNase_P_RNA from 1 species
UGCAACAGAGAGCAAACCGCCGAUGGCCCGCGUAAGCGGGAUCAGGUAAGGGUGAAAGGGUGCGGUAAGAGCGCACCGCGCGGCUGGUAACAGUCCGUGGCACGGUAAACUCCACCCGGAGCAAGGCCAAAUAGGGGUUCAUAAGGUACGGCCCGUACUGAACCCGGGUAGGCUGCUUGAGCCAGUGAGCGAUUGCUGGCCUAGAUGAAUGACUGUCCACGACAGAACCCGGCUUAUCGGUCAGUUUCACCU